GACGAACGCUGGCGGCGUGCUUAACACAUGCAAGUCGAACGGAAAGGCCCUGCUUUUGUGGGGUGCUCGAGUGGCGAACGGGUGAGUAACACGUUAGUAACCUGCCCUUUACUUUGGGAUAACUUCCGGAAACUGGGGCUAAUACCGGAUAGGAGCUCCUGCUGCAUGGUGGGUGUUGGAAAGUUUCGGCGGUUGGGGAUGGACUCGCGGCUUAUCAGCUUGUUGGUGGGGUAGUGGCUUACCAAGGCUUUGACGGGUAGCCGGCCUGAGAGGGUGACCGGCCACAUUGGGACUGAGAUACGGCCCAGACUCCUACGGGAGGCAGCAGGGGGGAAUAUUGCACAAUGGGCGGAAGCCUGAUGCAGCAACGCCGCGUGCGGGAUGACGGCCUUCGGGUUGUAAACCGCUUUCGCCUGUGACGAAGCGUGAGUGACGGUAAUGGGUAAAGAAGCACCGGCUAACUACGUG
rnacentral:rRNA from 1 species